UUUCUCUCUCCUUCUUCUUCUUCUUCUUCUUCCCCAAUUACCUUCAUUCUCUUCUCCUCCUCCAUUGUUACACAUAAUUAAGAAACCUUCUAAUCCAACUAAAACUCGCACAGCAAAAAGAUUUCAAUUUAAGAAAACCUUCUGCUUACCACUAUGAUAUCUUGGUGCUUGGAUUUAUGACAUUAGUUUGCGGACUUAUUGGACUUCCUCCAUCAAAUGGCGUCCUUCCGCAGUCUCCAAUGCAUAGUAAGAGCCUCGCUACUCUUAAGAAGCAGGUGAUGAAGGAAGAAUUGGCAAACAAGGAGAAGUUAGAUGGCUUCAAAAAGCAUGUUACGACCCUAGCGGCGCUCGACUUGUUGGUUUGCUUGAAGUCUGAUUUGUUUGUGAUGACCCAUGGAGGCAAUGUCUUUGAAAACACAUUAUGUUGAUGAAUAUACAGAGAUUUAGUUGGAUUAAGACUUAAGAGGGUUUUUAAUUAUGUGUAACAAUGGAUGAGGAGAAGAGAAUGGAGGUAAUUGGGGAAGAAGAAGAAGGAGAGAGAAAAGUAAUUGGGGAAAGAAAAACUAAAAGAAAAAGAAAAAAAAAACUCACAAAAACAAAAUUAAAGCAAAAAAAAAAGGGAAGUCAAAGGUUAAAUGGCAUGUCAACUGGUCCAUCUGUACGGAAUCGUUCACCUGGCCUGAAUGCUGGUCAAAAUUGAAAUAUGGUGGCUGUAAUUCGCAAAAAAUAAAAAAACAAGAUGGUGAAUGAUAGCAUGAUUACUACCGUACGGGUAGGAAGUGUGAGAGUGUGCUCUAGGACUGUUCCUCUCAUCUUGUCUCUUACAUUUAGACCUUAAGACUUUUAUUUCUUUUCUUUUAAAGGAUUUUUUUUUUCUGCAAUAAUGUAAUAAGAUUUUGUACCUUUAAGUUUUAUAUACUUUACGGUUUAUGAGGUUUAUAUUGUGGUUCUCAUCCAAUUAUUUUUUUUAAGACUACGUGACAACCGACUUAAAAGUUAUUUUCGAA